CGGGGUCAAAGCUUAAGGUUCAAAGAGAACUCUCAAGCUUUGAGUCAUCCAUAGACCCAUAUCCUGCUCUGUAUGGUUUCUACAUUCGCUUCCCCCCACAUCGCUUACAUUCAUUCCAAAACGGAAUCUUUUUCUUACAGUUUACUAUUAAUAAAUAUGCACAUAUGCAUAAAAAUAAACCAAGAAGGCAGCAAAACUAAAUCGUAAACAAUGUGUAGGAAUGUGAAAAAUAUUUCUAGGAAGCUAAAAAUAUCAGUAAACAUAAAAGAAUUUGAAAAAAAAAAACAAAUCAAGACACUUAUCGGUUGUCAUUCAGCAGCUGUAGUAACCGCCACACGGCUGGUGCGCAAACAUAAACGUUUUGCUAUGCAAGCAAGCGAGCGCAUAGUUGAGCGGACAAGUUAGCAAUGCGAGCAGUAGUGAUGUGCUUAAUUGUCGGUACUCAAUACUCGAUACCCAAAAAUAUUUCGGUACCCAAUACUUCCUUUUCGGUACUCGAUACCUUUACAUUAAACUUUCGCCAUUAUACAUAUUUCAAGUUUAGAAAAAAAUCAUUUCAUUGCUAUUUUAUAUGAUAUCGGCAAAAAACUUCGACUCGGGCAACAGUAAAAUAUUUGGGGUAUUCGCACGUACCUGGUUAUCAGGUUUUCUGGGUUAAAAUUAGUAUUUUGUUGUAGUAAAUUGAGUAAAAAUAUGUCCAUAUAACCAGGUCCUGAUAACCAGGCAAGUGUGAAUACCCCAAUUAUCCAGGGUUUAGGAAAAAUGGUUUGACGGAUGAAGAGAAGCCUCUCCGGCCUACGAAUAUAAUAGAGGUCAACACACCGAAGCCAGGUACUCGGUAAUUUAGUGCUUGUAAAAUAAUGUUACACAAACAAAAUGUAUGGAGAAAAAUUACCGAUGACCAAGAUCGGUGUGAAGAUCACUACUAUCGUCCGAUUAAUAUAGAACAAAAAUGCUACAAACAAGUAAGAGUUGAUCUGCAUUAUGGCGACGAACCGAUAUACAUAUUAAAACAUUUUUCAUUUCAAUCAAUAUUGAAAGCUCCUUUGGCCCCUACAAUCGGCUUUUGAUAAACGAGUCUCCCCUGAACCGCUUUUUCCAUAUUUUUGACCUUUCGGUACCAAGUAUCGGAAGUAUUGGACUCGCCACAUCACUAGCGAGCAGCUACAGAGCGCCAUGAAGUCGAGCAUUGCAGCAGCACCCCCGCCUGCCUGCCAGACGAUGCCCGAACUUUCCCCACCGACAUGGUUCAAGGCGAACUUCAAUGAAACUGGCUUUGUGAGAUAACUAUGUAGAGGUGAUGGCGCUGUCACUGUCGCUGGCGCUAGCGUAUUGGGCGCACCUACAUACAACAUAAAUACAUAAAUAUCAACAUCAUACAUCAGCAACAAAAAUGAACAAACUAGCACGCAGACGGACAGCCAGACACGCAGAUAGUUUUGUACAAAGUGGUAAUUGCUGCAACAACCAAAGCAAUAACUAAAGUCAACAACAAUAAAAACGACUGCUACAUACAUAGCACAGACAAACAACAACGCGUAUUGGCAGUCAUGAAGCUGUUGGCCAUCAGUCUGCAGACCUGGUCUGGUGUCUGCAGACGAAAGCCUGAUCCAGCAGCAAAAACACAAUAGACAGAAAAAAUGUGUUGCUGUUUUUAUUAUUGUUGUUGCCGCAUUUGUCGCACGUGUAAUUCAUGUAAUUGUAGGAGCUGUUGCUGCUGCUGCGGCUAUUGAUUGCAACACAGCCAGACAGAUUUUUAUGAUUGAAACAUAAAAUCGUGGUAUUCUUCGCAUGCGUGGAUGUUGCAGAUGACAACAACAACAACAACAACAACCACACCCAAAAACAGCAACAACAAUCAUAAACUCAACAACAACUCACUUAACUUGCCACGAAUGCAUUUAGGCAUUCAAUGGCAUGUGGCAUGUUUGUAUUUACAUUUUAGCUGUGCGUUUGUUUGCCUCCUACUCUCGCUUUUGAAGUGCUGCUGCUUUAGGUAUGUACGUUACCCGAGAAGUAACCAAUAUGUUGCCAGCCAGGCAGCAUGCGUAGCCUGUGGUUGCCUUGGACAGCUACAAAUUUACAUUACGCGUAUGUAUGUAUGUUAUACACAUACAUAUGUAUUGCGUGUGUGUGGCUUUAUGUUUACACUAAUCCGCCACAGCCACUUAAGUGUUGCUUCCAUCACUUCUGUGUAGCUCCUUUUUUCUAUCUCUUUUGCUGUUUGAAAACAUCUUAUACGACUUGCUAUAGCUUCUCAAAGAUUCAAUAUCUCUGUGUACAUAUGAUUUCAGCAACACCUUAAGUAGACACAACAAUUUGGCAGUGAAUAAUAGCACAAAAACAAAAAUGUAGAAAAAAAUGCCUCAACAUCGAUUGCUUUGUACGUAGUCCAUUUGUAGCUGAUGCGUGAAGCCAUCGCCGACAUAAGCUUUCAAACUUUUGGGAAGCCCAGCAAGAAUUUGAAAUGAAGUGGAAAUGGAUAAUAGCAAAAGUAUGGUAAUCGAUUUAAAAAAUUGCAAAAAACAAAACACACAGCACGCUAAAGAUGUUAAGCGCCAAUGCUACGGCAAAAACAUAGCACUUUUUAGUGCAAAAAAAAAAGGAGAGAGCACACCUAACGAGUAGAGUGGCGAGACAGUAACUCGGCCGUGUGUUGGUUACGUAUAAACAGUGUGGGGAGUAGCCGACCGAGUCAUCGGCCGAGCAAACUGAAGAGGUGGCCGCUAGAAACUAUACAUAUGUGCUUUUUUUUUUUUUGCUAUUCAGGCAGGUUCUGUAAUUCACUUCCGAGUGAAUUUCAACCCCAUUCAAUUUGAAUUCAAAGUGACUUUUGUAUUAUGUAUGGUAAAAGCUGGUCGAAAAUCUGUUUAAAACUUAGUCUUCCCCGAUCCAUUUUAAUCAAUCACUGCAUUAAAACUGAACUGAUUGCCAAGUAGCAAAUAACGUAAAAGCACCUUCCCGUCCACACAAUCGACCACUCUAUUCCUUACGUGUGUUCAAGGCAUAAAUGAUGAUAGUAUCGAAAGUCAAUCAUUACAAGGGGGUUGUAUGCCAGACAAUGAAUGCGUUGCUAGUUAGGACGUAUUCAUACUCAGCUGAAACUAAUUAGCUGACUGUAUCGUUUUUAGAACCUUCUUUUGUUUUGGUUUUCCAAAGCUUCCGGAGUUAUGCUCCCAGUGGAACGGUAAAAUGAAACCGCUAUGGAAACAAAUUUUAAAAAAAUAUUGGUUUUAAAAGAAAGAGGACGGAGAAAGCGUUCAUACAGAUUUAGAGUUGAGCUUAUUUAAAAAAUUUAAAUAAAAAACUUGCAAGUUAAACGAAGUAUUACAGUAAGGGUCUCGAACGAAAAAUAUUUGCAAACAACUUUAAUACAGAAACAAUUUUAACAGAGUUGCCAUUUUUUAAGUAAUAUACAUUUAUUUAAUGCUAUAUUCUUUUACCUUUGGAUAGGUUGUCUGACAAAGCUAAUAUUGGCUAGUUUGUCUGAGAGUACUGAGAUAGUACAAUGUUACGA